CACAGCUCUCAUCUCCCACAGCUGAGUCAGCUGCAUGAGGGGCCACGGAUUAGAUACUUAGUCCUAUUGAUUAUCCCCACCAAAGGGUGUGCCACACAGGGCCCCAGUCACGGAAGAAGACCAUCCCGGUCCUCACCCAUGGGAGCCAAGCCCAGCUCAUGAUGGGAUCACAGGGCAGAGAGCAAUUCAUUUUACCCCAGGGACCAGGGCCCCAGGGAUCAAGGCUCUUCAGGGUUUCUCGGGGAAGUGGCCAGAUCCCCUCUGAGGUUAGAGAGGGGACUUGUUUUGUUUUGCUCCACUGAGGAGCCUCUGCUGCUCAGAACCCCAAAAGGGAGAUUCGGAAGAUCCUGGAGUUUGUGGGGCGCUCCCUGCCAGAGGAGACUGUGGACCUCAUGGUUCAACACACGUCAUUCAGGGAGAUGAAGAAGAACCCUAUGGCCAACUACACCACCGUCCCCCAGGAGUACAUGGACCACAGCAUCUCCCCCUUCAUGAGGAAAGGCAUGACUGGGGACUGGAAGACCACUUUCACCGUGGCACAGAAUGAGCGCUUCGAUGCGGACUAUGCGGAGAAGAUGGCAGGCUGCAGCCUCAGCUUCCGCUCUGAGCUGUGAGAGCGGCUUCCGGGGUCCCUCCAGAGGGAGUGUGUGAAUCUAUCCUGACCAAUAGGCUCAAGAAUAAAGUAUGAUUUUUGAGUCAGGCA